GGCCAAAUAAAACCAGAGUUAUGAUAAAUUAUGUCCGUGAUACUUUUUUUCUGCUUAUUUUGAUCACGUUCGGCACUCGAUCGCGCUGUAUGAGACAGGAAAACAUAGCAUGCAGACAUUAGCGACAGGUCUUACAGGCGGAAAAGGCUUGCCAAAAGAAAAAAAAAACACACCACAACAUCUCUCCUAUUGGUGGAAAACUUCACCACAACAACCAAUCCAAAAUUAUAUGGUGACUGAUUGACAAGGGGCGGGUGCUUACGUUCUUCCUGCAACAUGAGAAGCGAGGGAGGGACUCUCAGCAGGGAUGCAGUCUGGGACAUGUAGUUGCAAACCUAGCGACUUUGUUGUUAGAUUCAAUGACUUUUCAGACCCCCUAACGACUUUUUUUUUUAGAAAGAAAGGGACUUUUAUCGACUUCUUCUGGAGUUUAGAGACUCUGACAUGAAGCAGGCUUUCCUUACUGAGGAGUUAGCAACGCUGCUAAGGGUGCAGAGCCACACAUGCGCUCAGAGCUCUGCAUGGGAGACUGAAGCUGACAGAGCUGCAGCAGUUAGCAGGUUUCACCCUCAGAGACCACCAGGGGUUCAUGUUGAGGCAUUUUAAUUUUUUUUUUUUUUUGUGCCAUAGACACUGUCAGCACAAUCUGCAGUUACACUAACAAAAAUGCUGCAAAAAACAAAGAAUUAUGGAAAAAUUACACAUGGACUGACAUAGAGGAGGAUCUACACAAGUUUUUUACAUCAUGUUUUACAUCAUGCAUCAUUUACAUCAUGUUUUUUUGUAGUGGCAUAAAUAAAAAGUGACAUUUGUGAGACUAUACAGUGUUUUGUAAAUAAUUUUACAAAGAACGCCUGGGCCAUUGCCUGCAUUUUGAUGUAAAUAGAGGUAAAUCACUAUGUUCUUUGUUAAAAAUUUGCAUAUGUUUUGAAGUUUACAAUUUUUAUUUGAAGUUUAAGUUUUAAAAACAGUUCAUCACACAUAUUUGUGGUUUUCACAGUAAAAAUGUUACUUUUUUCCACUCGGAUUUUAUGUUUUGUGUGUGAAUUUGGGUCCAUUGUGUAAAUUCAGUAUGUCAACAUGAUAAAAUAACUGUAUAUUCGCACAGGUGAGGUUGUGCUGAAAAAAAUGAUACCAGGCAAGGCACGUGAUUGUCAAAUUUUGUGUCAAUAUGACAAAGCGUAUAGGCGUGAAUCUCAACAAUAUGUAUUUUCACCUUAGGGGACAAGAAAAAAUGGACUUUUUUCUCCUGCCAUGGGGGGCGCUCUUUUGGGGAGUAAAAAUUCCUUCACAAAUGUGUUGAUGGCUGGACAUUGCAUCAUCCUAGAAAACUUGGAGGCCAGUGAGGACAAAAAUAAAAAGUUAUAAGACUUUUAAAUAUGUGGAUUUUAGGGUUAUCUUUGGCGCCCCCUAGAACCUAAACCGUGGGGUGCAGCGUCAUGAUUUGAAUAACUUUUAAUGGCCAUGGGGUGUAGAUUGGCCUGAGCAAAUGUGUUGCCGGUGGAACGAAAGCCUUAGGAGGAGUUAGCCACAUUCCAAUGUGUGCGGAUCGGCAAAAAAUGCGGAAUAACCCUUUAACCGUACAUUUGACAGAUACGCGCUCAUAGACUUUUUUGUAGAUCUUAUUGAGAUACAUGUGUGUGUCAAUUUUUGUGUCAUUUUGCCAAAGCGUAAAGGUGUGACACUCAACAAUGUGUAUUUUCACCUUAGGGGUCAAGAAAAAAUGGACUUUUUUCUCCUGCCAUGGGGGGGCGCUCUUUUGGGGAGUAAAAAUUCCUUCACAGAUGUGUUGAUGGCUGGACAUUGCAUCAUCCUAGAAAACUUGGAGGCCAGUGAGGACAAAAAUAAAAAGUUAUAAGACUUUUAAAUAUGUGGAUUUUAGGGUUAUUUUUGGCGCCCCCUAGAACCUAAACCGUGGGGUGCAGCGUCAUGAUUUGAAUAACUUUUAAUGGCCAUGGGGUGUAGAUUGGCCUGAGCAAAUGUGGUGCCGGUGGAACGAAAGCCUUCGGAGGAGUUAGCGAAAUUCCAAUGUGUGCAGAUCUGCAAAAAAUGCAAAAUAACCCAUUAACCGUACAUUUGACAGAUACGCCCGCACUGACUUUUUUGUAGAUCUUAUUGAGAUACAUGUGUGUGUCAAUUUUUGUGUCAAUAUGACAAAGCGUACAGCCGUCAUGUGAAUUUUCACCUUAGGGGGCGCUAUGGAGCCAUUUUGCAUUUUAUUGUUUGGGCGACUUCGGAAUAUCAAAUUUUUCACCAGGCCCGGUCGUCCUGCCAAAUUUCAUGAGUUUUCGCCAGUGGGAAGUGGGCCAUUUUCCAGUUCAAAGGGGAGGAAAAAGAAAAAAGAAACAAAGAAAAACCACUUGGGGAAUAAUAGGGCUCUCGCAGCUGCUUAGCAGCUACGCUCGGGCCCUAAUAAUAACAAAAGAAGGAAACUACAGGAACAAGAGGGCUCUCGCAGCUGCUUAGCAGCUACGCUCGGGCCCUAAAGAAAGAAAGAAAGAAAGAAACAAAGAAAAACCACUUGGGGAAUAAUAGGGCCUACGCCCGGCUGCUCUGCAGCUGGCUCGGGCCCUAAUAAGAAGAAGAAGAAACUAGGGCCCCGUUGGGGCACUGGCGGGCCCGAGCCUCGUUGCGCCGCCCCCAGUGCGACCACCUCCCCCUCCCGAUCGCGUCACACUCAAGGUCCAAAGAUGGUGUGCGCACUUGUCUGUGGUCAUUUCCCAUUAUAAUGAAUAGGAGGCGCAGUUUCUACCAAAACACUCGCUGCAGACAAACUACAUGUCCUAUUUGAAAAAAGUCUGGACCAUGAGUGAGGGCACAAACACAGCUAGGAUAUAUCCAAACGGCAAGUUGCUCCUCGUUACGGUGUUGCCGGGAGAGCGAUGCGAUUGAGCCAUUGAGUGAUGGGCAGGAAAAACUUGACUGUUUCUCCUGCCAUGGGGGAUGGGGGAUGGGGGGGGGGGAUUCUUUUAAGAAUGUGGAUAUUUGGGUCAUCUUUGGCGCCCCCUAGAACGUAAACCGUGGGGUGCAGCGUCAUGAUUUUUACAACUUUGAAUGGCCAUGGGGUGUAGAUUGGCCUGAGCAAAUUUGGUGUCAGUGGGACGAAAGCCUUAGGAGGAGUUAGCCACAUUCCAAUGUGUGCUAAUCGGCAAAAAAUGCAAAAUAGCCCUUUAACCGUACAUUUUACAGAUACGCGCGCAUUGACUUUUUCGUAGAUCUUAUUGAGAUACAUGUGUGUGUCAAAUUUUGUGUCAAUAUGACAAAGCAUACAGGUAUGACAGUCAACAAUGUGUAUUUUCACCUUAUGGGACAAGAAAAAAUGGACUUUUUUCUCCUGCCAUGGGGGGGCGCUCUUUUGGGGAGUAAAAAUUCCUUCACAAAUGUGUUGAUGGCUGGACAUUGCAUCAUCCUAGAAAACUUGGAGGCCAGAGAGGACAAAAAUAAAAAGUUAUAAGACUUUUAAAUAUGUGGAUUUUAGGGUUAUCUUUGGCGCCCCCUAGAACCUAAACCGUGGGGUGCAGCGUCAUGAUUUGAAUAACUUUUAAUGGCCAUGGGGUGUAGAUUGGCCUGAGCAAAUGUGGUGCCGGUGGAACGAAAGCCUUCGGAGGAGUUAGCGAAAUUCCAAUGUGUGCGGAUCGGCAAAAAAUGCGCAAUAACCCUUUAACCGUACAUUUGACAGAUACGCGCGCAUUGACUUUUUCGUAGAUCUUAUUGAGAUACAUGUGUGUGUCAAUUUUUGUGUCAUUUUGCCAAAGCGUACAGGCGUGACACUAAACAAUGUGUAUUUUCACCUUAUGGGACAAGAAAAAAUUGACUUUUUUCUCCUGCCAUGGGGGGGCGCUCUUUUGGGGAGUAAAAAUUCCUUCACAAAUGUGUUGAUGGCUGGACAUCGCAUCAUCCUAGAAAACUUGGAGGCCAGUGAGGGCAAAAAUAAAAAGUUAUAAGACUUUUAAAUAUGUGGAUUUUAGGGUUAUCUUUGGCGCCCCCUAGAACCUAAACCUUUCUGCUUGUUUUGAUCACGUUCGGCGCUCGAUCGCGCUGUAUGAGACAGGAAAACAUAGCAUGCACACAUUAGUGACAGGUCUUACAGGCGGAAAAGGCUUGCCAAAAGAAAAAAAAAACACACCACAACAUCUCUCCUAUUGGUGGAAAACUUCACCACAACAACCAAUCCAAAAUUAUAUGGUGACUGAUUGACAAGGGGCGGGCGCUUACGUUCUUCCUGCAACAUGAGAAGGGAGGGAGGGACUCUCAGCAGGGAUGCAGUCUGGGACACGUAGUUGCAAACCUAGCGACUUUGUUGUUAGAUUCAAUUACUUUUCAGACCCCCUAACGACUUUUUUUUAGAAAGAAAGGGACUUUUAUCGACUUCUUCUGGAGUUUAGAGACUCUGACAUGAAGCAGGCUUUCCUUACUGAGGAGUUAGCAACGCUGCUAAGGGUGCAGAGCCACACAUGCGCUCCGAGCUCUGCAUGGGAGACUGAAGCUGACAGAGCUGCAGCAGUUAGCAGGUUUCACCCUCAGAGACCACCAGGGGUUCAUGCUGAGGCAUUUUCAGUUUUUGUUUUUUUUGCCAUAGACUGUCAGCACAAUCUGCAGUUACACUAACAAAAAUGCUGCAAAAAACAAAGAAUUAUGGAAAAAUUACACAUGGACUGACAUAGAGGAGGAUCUACACAAGUUUUUUACAUCAUGUUUUACAUCAUGCAUCAUUUACAUCAUGUUUUUUUGUAGUGGCAUACAUAAAAAGUGACAUUUGUGAGACUAUACAGUGUUUUGUAAAUAAUUUUACAAAGAACGCCUGGGCCAUUGCCUGCAUUUUGAUGUAAAUAGAGGUAAAUUACUAUGUUCUUUGUUAAAAAUUUGCAUAUGUUUUGAAGUUUACAAUUUUUAUUUGAAGUUUAAGUUUUAAAAACAGUUCAUCACACAUAUUUGUGGUUUAAUUUCACAUUAAUUUCCAUAUUGUAUAAAUGACUGGAAAAAACUUGAGCCCCUGCCCCUGUAUAAUCAUGUGCACGUCCCUGUUCUAGCUCCAAGGUGAAUCUUCACUGCUCAUGUUCUCCUCAGAAAUAGUCACCUCACUCCCCUCAGGUUACUGUACACAUGCACCAACUAUCUGCUUCAGGUUUGGAUGGAGCUUCAUGGUUGUCUUUUGGAGAAAUGAACAGUCAAGUUGUGUUUGAAAUCUGAUUUUUUUCAGGGGCAAAAGGAAGCCUCUGCAUUCUUGUCAAAUAUGUAAACAGCAUGUUUUUGCAGGUGCUAAAAAACAGACUCUGAGUGUGUGUGUGUGUGUGUGUGUGUGUGUGUGUGUGUGUGUGUGUGUGUGUGUGUGUGUGUGUGUGUGUGUUCCUGCAGUACUCUGUACUCCUGCAGUGGCCAAAAAGACUUUUAAGAAUGUGGAUUUUUGGGUCAUCUUUGGCGCCCCCUAGAACUGCAGUACUCUGUACUCCUGCAGUGGCCAAAAUGACUUUUAAGAAUGUGGAUUUUUGGGUCAUCUUUGGCGCCCCCUAGAACGUAAACCGUGGGGUGCAGCGUCAUGAUUUUUACAACUUUGAAUGGGCAUGGGGUGUAGAUUGCCCUGAGCAAAUUUGGUAUCGGUGGGACGAAAGCCUUAGGAGGAGAUAGCCACAUUCCAAUGUGUGCGAAUCGGCAAAAAAUGCGAAAUAGCCCUUUAACCGUACAUUAUACAGACACGCGCUUUUUGACUUUUUCGUAGAUCUAAUUGAGAUACACAUGAUUGUCAAUUUUUGUGUCAAUAUGACAAAGCGUUCAGGCGUGACACUCAACAAUGUGUAUUUUCAUGUAAGGGGACAAGAAAAAAUUGACUUUUUUCUCCUGCCAUGGGGGGGCGCUCUUUUGGGGAGUAAAAAUUCCUUCACAAAUGUGUUGAUGGCUGGACAUUGCAUCAUCCUAGAAAACUUGGAGGGCAGUGAGGACAAAAAUAAAAAGUUAUAAGACUUUUAAGAAUGUGGAUUUUGGGUUAUCUUUGGCGCCCCCUAGAACGUAAACCGUGGGGUGCAGCGUCAUGAUUUGUACAACUUUUAAUGGCCAUGGGGGGUAGAUUGGCCUGCGCAAAUGUGGUGCCGGUCGAACGAAAGCCUUCGGAGGAGUUAGCGAAAUUCCAAUGUGUGCAGAUCUGCAAAAAAUGCAAAAAAACCCAUUAACCGUACAUUUGACAGAUACGCCCGCACUGACUUUUUUGUAGAUCUUAUUGAGAUACAUGUGUGUGUCAAUUGUUGUGUCAAUAUGACAAAGCGUACAGCUGUCAUGUGAAUUUUCACCUUAGGGGGCGCUAUGGAGCCAUUUUGCAUUUUCUUGUUUGGGCGACUUCAGAAUAUCGAAUUUUUCACCAGGCCCGGUCGUCCUGCCAAAUUUCCUGAGUUUUCGCCAGUGGGAAGUGGGCCAUUUUCCAGUUUAAAGCGGAGGAAAAAUAAUAACGAAAGAAGGAAACAUGCAGGAACAAGAGGGCUCUCGCAGCUGCUUAGCAGCUACGCUCGGGCCCUAAAGAAAGAAAGAAAGAAAGAAAGAAGAAAGAAAAACUCAUCAGGAAUAAUAGGGCUCUACGCCCGGCUGCUCUGCAGCUGGCUCGGGCCCUAACUAGGACCCCGUUGGGGCACUGGCGGGCCCGAGCCGUGUCGCGUCUCCCCCCCCCCCCCAACAUGCUGCCUCCCCGUCCCAUUUGUGCCCAUCACUGCAAAGACCCUUUUCCUUCAUCGGCGUUUGCUGUUCUUCCUGCCAGUGCGUGUUGCUUUCACUUACACUUGCCACAGCCAGCCUCGUGAGUGCCUAGCCUAUUGGAUAUCACUGUCACCUACACAGGACAGUCAUUACCUUUCUAUUAAUACUUUGUGUUUUAAUUUCACAUUAAUUUCCAUAUUGUAUAAACGACUGGAAAAAACUUGAGCCCCUGCCCCUGUAUAAUCAUGUGCAUGUCUCUGUUCUAGCUCCAAGGUGAAUCUUCACUGCUCAUGUUCUCCUCAGAAGCACUCACCUCACUCCCCUCAGGUUACUGUACACAUGCACCAACUGCCUGCUUCAGGUUUGGAUGGAGCUUCAUGGUUGUCUUUUGGAGAAAUGACCAGUCAAGUUGUGUUUGAAAUUUGAUUUUUUUCAGGGGCAAAAGGAGCCUCUGCAUUCUUGUCAAAUAUGUAAAUAGCAUGUUUUUGCAGGUGCUAAAAACCAGACUCUGAGUGUGUGUGUGUGUGUGUGUGUGUGUGUGUGUGUGUGUGUGUGCGUGUGUGUGCGUGUGUGUGUGUCUAUGUGUGCGUUCAAGUCACAUGACAUAUUUAACCGGAUGUAGCUGCAAGACGGAGCC
rnacentral:lncRNA from 1 species